AGGAAAGGUUUUUGGAUCGUAAACCCCUUUUGUCAAGGAAGAAGCUCUGACGGUACUUGACGAAUAAGCCUCGGCUAACUCCGUGCCAGCAGCCGCGGUAAUACGGAGGAGGCAAGCGUUAUCCGGAAUGAUUGGGCGUAAAGCGUCUGUAGGUGGCCAGCUAAGUCUGCUGUUAAAGAUCACAGCUCAACUGUGGGAAGGCAGUGGAAACUGGCAAGCUAGAGGUUGGUAGGGGUAAAGGGAAUUCCCGGUGUAGCGGUGAAAUGCGUAGAUAUCGGGAAGAACACCGGUGGCGAAAGCGCUUUACUGGGCCAGACCUGACACUGAAGGACGAAAGCUAGGGGAGCGAAAGGGAUUAGAUACCCCUGUAGUC
rnacentral:rRNA from 1 species